rnacentral:pre_miRNA from 1 species
CAAAAGAGAGUGGAUGCUAAUCGUCUGCUCAGUAGUUGGUGUAGGAUCUGUCUGACAUGAUUAAGAACAGCUACAUCUGAUUACUGGGUCACCGAUAGCAUCAACAAACUUCUGCCG